CAGAACCAAACAAAAACUCAGAAACUUCAGCAACAAGCCCUUUCCCAUACUUCCCAUAAUUCUUCAAAACAUGCUUAGCAAUAGCAGGAUCAGAACCAAACAAAAACUCAGAAACUUCAGCAACAAGCCCUUUCCCAUACUUCCCAUAAUUCUUCAAAACAUGCUUAGCAAUAGCAGGAUCACUAACAAUGACAAAAUUCCUCGGCCCAGCAGCAAGACGAUAAAUAGGUCCAUACAAAUUCAUCCAUCUAUACAAUGGAAGAAAAAGAGCACCACCCAGAAGUUCCGAAACAUCAUCAAGCUCAGCACUCGCAAUGGGUAUGUUAGAAUCAUCAUUUUGGCCUAAAGUAAGUGACCUGGUAAG
rnacentral:misc_RNA from 1 species